rnacentral:rRNA from 1 species
GGACCUGACUGCUAUCGGAUGAUACUAAAGCCAUGCGAGUCUUNGCAGUAAUGCAAGGCAUACGGCUCAGUAACACGUAGUCAACCUAACCUAUGGACGGGAAUAACCUCGGGAAACUGAGAAUAAUGCCCGAUAGAACAUUAUGCCUGGAAUGGUUUAUGUUCCAAAUGAUUUAUCGCCGUAGGAUGGGACUGCGGCCUAUCAGUUUGUUGGUGAGGUAAUGGCCCACCAAGACUAUUACAGGUACGGGCUCUGAGAGGAGUAGCCCGGAGAUGGGUACUGAGACACGGACCCAGGCCCUAUGGGGCGCAGCAGGCGAGAAAACUUUGCAAUGUGCGAAAGCACGACAAGGUUAAUCCGAGUGGUUUCUGCUAAAGAAACCUUUUGUCAGUCCUAGAAACACUGAUGAAUAAGGGGUGGGCGAAGUUCUGGUGUCGGCGG